rnacentral:rRNA from 1 species
AUUGAACGUUGGCGGCAGGCCUAAAACAUGCAAGUCGAACGGUAACAGCGGAAGCUUGCUUCCGGCUGACGAGUGGCGGACGGGUGAGUAACACGUAGGAAUCUACCUAGUAGUGGGGACAACCCGGGGAAACCCGGGCUAGUACCGCAUACGCUCUACGGAGGAAAGCAGGGGAUCUUCGGACCUUGCGCUAUUGGAGGAGCCUGCGUCGGAUUAGCUAGUUGGUGGGGUAAAGGCCUACCAAGGCGACGAUCCGUAGCUGGUCUGAGAGGACGAUCAGCCACACUGGAACUGAGACACGGUCCAGACUCCUACGGGAGGCAGCAGUUAGGAAUCUUGGGCAAUGGGCGCAAGCCUGACCCAGCCAUGCCGCGUGUGUGAAGAAGGCCUUCGGGUUGUAAAGCACUCUCAGCGGUGAAGAAAAGCUCAGGGCUAACAUCCCUGAGUCUUGACGUUAACCACAGAAGAAGCACCGGCUAACUCCGUGCCAGCCGCCGCCGUAAAAC